UAAAACUUUAUCAAAAUGAGAACAAUUUAUUUCCUCACAUUCCUUGCUCUUCUUGUCUUCGUUGCCGUAUCGGCACAAGAAGAAGAAGCUAUUCCAAAUGACCAACUUGGAGAAGAAGAACUAUUUUGGUCUUGUCAACAUGGCGGAAAUGCAAUGUGCAGUACGAGCUGUGCUCUAAAAGGCAAAUGGAAAGGUGGACAUUGUAACAAACAUGGCACAUGUAUAUGUAACUGAAAUGUUAUCUGAUACAAUUAAUACUUACGAUUAAUUAAUAACUGUUCAUGGUCCAUAAAUUUUCAAUACCAAUGUUCUAAUUUGUAACAACAACUGUGACAAUUAUAAAUUUCUCAAAUUUU